UGGGGAAUUUUGGACAAUGGGCGCAAGCCUGAUCCAGCAAUGCCGCGUGCAGGAUGAAGGCCUUCGGGUUGUAAACUGCUUUUGUACGGAACGAAACGGUCUUUUCUAAUACAGAAGGCUAAUGACGGUACCGUAAGAAUAAGCACCGGCUAACUACGUGCCAGCAGCCGCGGUAAUACGUAGGGUGCGAGCGUUAAUCGGAAUUACUGGGCGUAAAGCGUGCGCAGGCGGUUUUGUAAGACAGAGGUGAAAUCCCCGGGCUCAACCUGGGAACUGCAUUUGAGACGGUAUAGCUAGAGUACGGCAGAGGGGGAUGGAAUUCCGCGUGUAGCAGUGAAAGGCGUAGUUAUGCGGAGGAACACAGAGGGCGAAGGCAAUCCCCGGGGGCUGUACGGACGCUAAUGCACGAAAGCGGGGGGAGCAAACA
rnacentral:rRNA from 1 species